AUGCACCGACAUCAACCACGUCCACGUCUAGCACAUCAGUCAACAACCAGGCCACCCGUCUUGACCAACCUGGCAGUUCAACAUGGCAGCAACCACAGCAAUAUGGUCCCACGUCGAGCUUCGUGUUUUCUCCACAGCCACAGCAGCACGGUCCCUCGUCGAGGUUCGUGUUUUCUCCACAGCCACAGCAGCACGGUCCCUCGUCGAGCUUCGUGUUUGAGCCAGAGCAACCGUCACAACCAGCAGGAGCCUACGGAUAUCAUGCGUCUAUGUCAGCAUCACAUGAUACGUGGGGGAGUGAUUAACAUCCCGAGGAGAACAUACAUGCUCAGAUGUCGCAGCACACCCAGUGGAUGA
rnacentral:rRNA from 1 species